GAUAUAAAGCAACCAACACUUUUGCAACUGCUUGACUCUCCCUUUGCAAUCGGUCCCAAGAUGAAGGCGAUUCUGGGACUUCUCUUUGCCGUCUUCUUCGUGCUCUCCAGCACCAGGACCCGCAGGAGCCGUGGUGUAACUGCGCCGCCUUCGUCUCCUACGAGCAUUCGGAGAUCAAGGUGUAUCAGGGGAGCGGAUCAACCUCAGCCACUGCGACUACACGAACAGGUGUCAAGAGGAGUGCGUCACACAGCUUCGUAACCUAACCAACAGCGGCGACUUGUUCUUCGAUGCGGGCGGCCAAACGGUCGGUCAGCAUAUCUGCAAUAAUCUGCAAGAUAUUGGCUUCGUCGUUAUGCAAAACAAAUACGUAUACGGGUAUUUCGAGGUGUGUGGCGGUGCCUGGCAAUACGCUGACUUGAUGAGUCAGCAGAAACUUUGCUGCUCUAUGGGCGAACACAAACACUGUAUUGAUUAAUGUAUAUAUAUAUAUAUAUAUAUAUAUAUAUAUAUAUAUAUAUAUAUAUAUAUAUAUAUAUAUAUAUCCUAUUGAUAAUAAAUGAAAAAAUUAUGCGAUUGUCAUAGAAAAUUGGAUAGGAAUUGGUUGUUUGCUUGUAAUGAUGAUAUAGGUGUAUCACUUGUAACUAUAAUAUUACCGUACUUUUCUUCAAUGAGGUAGUUAUUAGAAUACAGGAAAUCACGCUAGUAUUGAUUGUAGUAUGAGACAUAUAUAAUUGCACUCGUAUGAUAAUAAUUCUUGCAAAAUGUGAAUUAUUCACCUUUUUACAAAUUUUGUAUCUGCAGGCACUGUAAUAAAUCAUUUUUUUUUUAUA